rnacentral:rRNA from 1 species
UAACAAGGAUUCCCCUAGUAACUGCGAGUGAAGAGGGAAAAGCUCAAAUUUAAAAUCUGGCGGGCUCUGCUCGUCCGAGUUGUAAUCUGGAGAAGCGUUUUCCGCGUCGGACCGUGCAUAAGUCUCCUGGAACGGAGCGUCAUAGAGGGUGAGAAUCCCGUCCAUGGCACGGACCGCCGAUGCUUUGUGAUACGUUUUCAAAGAGUCGAGUUGUUUGGGAAUGCAGCUCAAAACGGGUGGUAAAUUCCAUCUAAAGCUAAAUAUUGGCGAGAGACCGAUAGCGAACAAGUACCGUGAGGGAAAGAUGAAAAGCACUUUGGAAAGAGAGUUAAACAGUACGUGAAAUUGUUGAAAGGGAAACGCUUGAAGUCAGUCGCGUCCGACGGAACUCAGCCUUGCUUCGGCCUGGUGUACUUUCUGUCGGACGGGUCAACAUCAGUUUUGACCGGUGGAAAAAGGUAGGGGGAAUGUAGCGCCGCCUCGGUGGCGUGUUAUAGCCCCUUGCUGUAUGCAUCGGUCGGGACUGAGGACCGCAGCACGCCUUUUUGGCCGGGGGUUCGCCCUACGUACCGUGCUUAGGAUGUUGGCAUAAUGGCUUUAAGCGACCCGUCUUGAAACACGGACCAAGGAGUCCAACAUGCUUGCGAGUGUUCGGGUGGAAAACCCCUGCGCGUAAUGAAAGUAACAGUUGGGAACCUCCGCAAGGGGGUGCACCGACGCCCGGCCCUGAAGUUCUCUGACGGUGCUGCGGUAGAGCAAGUAUGCUGGGACCCGAAAGAUGGUGAACUAUGCCUGAAUAGGGCGAAGCCAGAGGAAACUCUGGUGGAGGCUCGUAGCGAUUCUGACGUGCAAAUCGAUCGUCAAAUUUGG